rnacentral:rRNA from 1 species
AUUUGAAAUCUCCGAUGCCUGCAUCGGCGAGUUGUAGUUGCGAGAAGCACUUUCUAGGUGGACGGGCAGUGCCUAAGUUGCUUGGAACAGCACGUCGCAGAGGGUGACAACCCCGUCUGUGGCGCUGCCGGGCCGCUGACGAUGUGCUUUCGAAGAGUCGGGUUGUUUGGGAAUGCAGCCCAAAAGGGGUGGUAGACUCCAUCUAAAGCUAAAUACCGGCGUGAGACCGAUAGCGAACAAGUACCGUGAGGGAAAGAUGAAAAGAACUUUGAAAAGAGAGUUAAAGAGUACGUGAAACCGUCCAAAGGGAAACGAAUGCACUCAGCAAUGCGCCCUCUGAGAUUCAGCCGGUGGGUGGCGUCGGCGCAGGGUCUUUUUGCGGAUCCGAAUGGACCGCGGCCCGGCGCUCGCCGUCUCUCUCUCCCCGCCGUCGCACUUCUCUGGGGCGCGCGUCAAGGUGGGUUGGGACUGGGUCUAAAAGGUGCCGGGAAGGUAGGUCUGGGCCCCUUUUCCAAGGGCGUCCGUUCUGUUACAGCCCGGUUCUUGUCACGACUCGGGCCCGACCGAGGAGGCAGGGCAUGCCUAGUGUGGCUAGGGUCCCGCCCUUCCGGCCGGCUGCUCCAAUGCGGGGGACUGCUUGCAGUGCUCGGCGACGGCUGCCGGUCGUUGGGGUGGUGUUCUCGUACCAUGCCCUUGGGAUGUUGGCGAUCAUAUGGGUGCAUCCGACCCGUCUUGAAACACGGACCAAGGAGUCUAACAUGUGCGCGAGUCUUAGGGUGAGUCAAACCCCGAGGCGCAGUGAAAGUGAAGGCGGCUCCGGCCGCCGAGGUGAGAUCGCCGCGGGCGCUGUGCGCGGGCGGCGCGCAUCAUCGACCGACCUAUUCUACUCUUAGGAAGGUUUGAGUAAGA